rnacentral:rRNA from 1 species
GACGAACGCUGGCGGCGUGCCUAAUACAUGCAAGUUGAGCGCUGAAGGUUGGUACUUGUACCAACUUGAUGAGCAGCGAACGGGUGAGUAACGCGUGGGGAAUCUGCCUUUGAGCGGGGGACAACAUUUGGAAACGAAUGCUCAUACCGCAUAAAAACUUUAAACACAAGUUUUAAGUUUGAAAGAUGCAAUUGCAUCACUCAAAGAUGAUUCCGCGUUGUAUUAGCUAGUUGGUGAGGUAAAGGCUCACCAAGGCGAUGAUACAUAGCCGACCUGAGAGGGUGGUCGGCCACACUGGGACUGAGACACGGCCCAAACGCCUUCGGGAGGCAGCAGUAGGGAAUCUGCGGCAAGGGACGAAAGUCUGACCGAGCAACGCCGCGUGAGUGCAGAAGGUUUUCGGAUCGUAAAACUCUGUUGGUAGAGAAGAACGUUGGUGAGAGUGGAAAGCUCAUCAAGUGACGGUAACUACACAGAAAGGGACGGCUAACUACGUG